CCCAAGUAAUUUACUUACCCUACAUUGCAAUAUAACACCAGAAUAUUUUAUUAUUUAGACAAAAGUGGCACCUGUUAAGUAUUUUUUUGGGUUUGACAUAAAAUAACCAUAUGGAGAUUUAUUUAUUUACAUAUUCUUAUUUGGAGAGUACCUGGCAGAGUACCUAUCCUUUCUUUAAUUUAUUAAGCUUUUUAUUUUAUUAAGUUACGUCUUUGCUAAUUUUAUUUUUAAAUAUCAUGAGAAAUUUGUUUAAUACAUUAAUAUGUUCCUUUAAUUACAUAUAAGUUUUUUUUAUAGAUGGACCAAAACGGAAGAUAACAGAAAAGCUCUUAUGGAAUCUUACGACAUACGAUUGAAAAGGAUUAAAUAUUUAAAGCAAAUUUUAAAAUAUAAAGAGGAAGGCCGUAAUAUUGUAUAUACUGAUGAAAGUUACAUACAUAGCAGACAUGGAAUUAGAAAACCCAUUUCCAAAGGACAGAGACUGAUAAUUCUUCAUGCUGGGGGAAGAAAUGGUUUCGUAAAUAAUGGGUUACUGAUUUUUCGCUCAGGGUCAAAAAGCGGAGACUAUCAUGAUGAUAUGAACCAUCACAACUUCAUGAAAUGGGCCGAAAAUCAGUUAAUUCCAAAUUUACUACCUAAUUCCGUCCUAGUAUUAGACAAUGCAGCUUAUCACAAUGUGCCUGUAGUCAAGAAUGUUACAUCUGGAAGUAAAAAGCAGGAAAUAGUUUGACUGAUAGUCAAGGAACGUAAUUUUACAUUUGAUGCAAAACUCACCAAGACAGAGUUAUAUGAAAUAGUGUCUGAAAAUAAAAAAAAAGUAUCCUGUAAAAACCAAGUUGGACGACCUAAUGGAAAAGCAUGGACACAUUGUGGUACGUUUGCCUCCAUACCACCCAGAGCUUAAUCCGAUAGAAAAAAUUUGGGCAACUGUUAAGAAUUGGGUGGCAAGCAGAAAUUCCACUUUUAAAUUGGCGGAUGUCGAAACUUUGACAAGGCAGAAAUUUGCGGAAAUUUCGAAUGAUGAGUGGAUAAAUAUUUGCAACCAUAUAGACAACAUAGAAAAACAAUAUUUCGAAAGUCAUCACCAUUUUGAUGAAGCAUUGGAUUCUUUAAAAUUUACAGUAAAUACAGGCUCAUCUGAUGAAGAGAUAGAAUGGUCUUCAUCGGAUGAAUCUGAUUUAGGUUGUAAUACACUAUCUGAUAGUCAAUAAAAAUAUAUAAUAUGUAAAAUAAUGAAAUAAAACUUUAAGCUUA